rnacentral:tRNA from 1 species
CAGAGGAUAGUUUAAAAAAAAUAUUAAUUUUGGGGAUUAGAGAUAGGAAAUUAUCUUCCUCUGA